UACAUAGGGAGCAAGCGUUAUCCGGAAUUAUUGGGUGUAAAGGGUGCGUAGACGGGAAAUUAAGUUAGUUGUGAAAUCCCUUGGCUUAACUGAGGAACUGCAACUAAAACUGAUUUUCUUGAGUACUGGAGAGGAAAGUGGAAUUCCUAGUGUAGCGGUGAAAUGCGUAGAUAUUAGGAGGAACACCAGUGGCGAAGGCGACUUUCUGGACAGUAACUGACGUUGAGGCACGAAAGUGUGGGGAGCAAACA
rnacentral:rRNA from 1 species